GUGAGAGAAAGUUCAGAAAAUAGAAAGCAAGACAAAUGUAAGCCAGCCUGACUGGAGACAGAAUUCAUUCUGCUGGUCAAACAUCUAAUUCGCUUUUCUCUUUUCUUUCUUCCGCAGCUCCGGGCUCAGCUUGGAAGGACAGGGGAACAUGCAAAUGUGUGGCCCCGAGGCUCAGGGGCACAAGAACCAGACAGUGGAGCUCCAAAGAGACCAAGAGCAGAUGUUUUAUAUUUCAGGAGAGAGCAGUCUCCCUCAAUUCCUGAAGGAUUCCUGGAAUUCUUCUACUUAACAAAAAUUAGCUACAGAGAAAGAAUCAUGAAUCAUGAAUGGGAGCCCGGGAAGCCUCCGGGAGCCAAUCAUUUCUUCCUCCUCCCGUCACCCAAGGGCUGUCUGGUGCCUUGUGGGUUCCAUGGAAAAUCCUCUGGAAAGAAGCGAGGCAUCAGGCUCUUCCAGUUACUCCAAGAGCAGGGCCAUGUUCUGUGAUCAGAGAAACCGAGCCUAGCGCCAUAGUCUCAAGAGCUAGAAGCUGGAGUCAGACCUGUGUUCUGCCCCCAGCUCAGUUUCAGGUUUGCCACUUACUCAGGUAAUAAACAUCUCUACCACCUCAUCUGUCGCAUAGAGCGAACCACCUAUGACCUAUGUCUCCAGCCGGAGAUCAUACAAAGAUCGAGGGAGAUGUGAGCGUACUCUAAUAAGUUAAGUACUUAUACAAGUGAAAAGCAUUUGUAUUGUAAUCACGGACAUAUGGCGUUCUGUUUACAAGGACUUUGGGCCGACCGGUACACGUCUGCACGCGUGGAUGGGAUUAGCAGAGGCACAGAACACAGAGGCUGACCUCCACGAGGCUCUCAAAGCCUGCCCAUCCCGGGUCGGGUCCCUUUACUACUCCUUUUAAGGCCGUUGCAAGCUUUAACCAUUCAAUAUUGAUUCGAUAAACAUUUACUGGGGAUCUGGCACAGGACGUGGCCCAUGUUGGGUGCCCGGUAAAUAUUUGCUGAAUAAUGAAUGAAUGAGGGCCUAAUGCAGAGAUGAAGAACUACAUGGCAAGUUGCCACCAGCCUCUGCUCCUGCACCCACAUCAGAAAACCAUUAGUGGACUAAGGCGCUCUUCUCCGAGGACCUUGUACUCAGCUCAGAAUUCUCAGACUUGGCACGUGAGAUGAAACCUCUUGGCCGUUCCUGACCUAGGCACAAGGAUAAAACACACCUUAACCCUGUGUUCAUGGAGCUCACAAACUCAUGGGAAAUAGGCAGUAAAGCGACAAAUGGAACAUAAUGUAUGUUAAGGACAGAAGUUGGGGAGUCCAGAGCAAGGCCCUGGCACCCCAUGAUGUGGGUGAACUUGCAGUUCUCACACUUGCCUGGGCUCUGAAGGUGAAACUCUUUCCAAGCGUUCCUCCUGCCUCUCUGAUAACCCUUGUCUAACCCUCUUCGACCCAGCCCGCAUAUGUUGGCAUUCUCGGUGUUCUUCCCUGGUCCUCUCACAUUCUACACAGACAUUCUUGUACCCUCACACUCCUCCCCCCAUGACAUCGGCUGCUAUUUACAUACUGAUGCCCCCCACGUUCAUGUCUCCAGCCCUGACCCUUCUCUGAAGCAUAUUUCCAGCUGACCCCUGGACUUGAGUACCCAACAGGCUACCCAGCUCAUCCUCCUCCCUGCUCUGUUCAGCCUCUGAGAACCUUGAUAUGCUUCAAGCAUUACUACUGAAGCCUUCCAAACGGGGAAUUCUUAGCUUUGACACAACUGGAGCCCGGGAUGGCCCUGGACUCUGGCCAUCACGAUCACGUGACUCGAGGCCUCUGCACAUGCUGUGUACUCAGCCUUGGAUACACCACAUACUCAUUCUUCAGCUACGCCUCUGCAUCCCUCAAGAUCUACUGAAACUUGGUUCUAAUGUCACUUUGGCAUCCUUCCCCCAAACCUCACUGCAGAGUCAGUUAGACCAUCUUCUGUAAAUCAAUGAGCUUGUAAGAUUCUGAAAUCCCUCUCGCUCAUCAAAAAAAUUAAGUUAUAAUAAGGCAGUAUGAAUGUUUAUGCAAUGUAUGUUAUACAAAAUCUGCAAAGGCCAUCAGUCCCCACGCACAAAUAAAGCAUUAACCGUCUCCUUCA